UCUUCAAUGAUGUUUUCAAGAACUUUCGUUCUUCUGAGCCUACUGAAGCCAGCCUUUCUUUCCUGAGAAGA